CAGCCCCGCGGUAAUACAGAGGGUGCGAGCGUUAAUCGGAUUUACUGGGCGUAAAGCGUGCGUAGGCGGCUUUUUAAGUCGGAUGUGAAAUCCCUGAGCUUAACUUAGGAAUUGCAUUCGAUACUGGGAAGCUAGAGUAUGGGAGAGGAUGGUAGAAUUCCAGGUGUAGCGGUGAAAUGCGUAGAGAUCUGGAGGAAUACCGAUGGCGAAGGCAGCCAUCUGGCCUAAUACUGACGCUGAGGUACGAAAGCAUGGGGAGCAAACAGGAUUAGAUACCCCAGUAGUCCCUGUCUCUUAUACA
rnacentral:rRNA from 1 species